UCGGGACAGAGGAGACAGGUGGUGCAUGGUUGUCGUCAGCUCGUGUCGUGAGAUGUUGGGUUAAGUCCCGCAACGAGCGCAACCCUUACCUUCAGUAGCCAGCGAGUAAAGUCGGGCACUCUGGAGGGACUGCCAGGGAUAACCUGGAGGAAGGUGGGGAUGACGUCAAAUCAUCAUGCCCCUUAUGAUUUGGGCUACACACGUGCUACAAUGGCGUAAACAAAGGGAAGCGAAGCCGUGAGGUGAAGCAAAUCCCAAAAAUAACGUCUCAGUUCGGAUUGUAGUCUGCAACUCGACUACAUGAAGCUGGAAUCGCUAGUAAUCGCGAAUCAGAAUGUCGCGGUGAAUACGUUCCCGGGUCUUGUACACACCGCCCGUCACACCAUGGGAGUUGGUAACGCCCGAAGUCAGUGACUCAACCGAAAGGGGAGAGCUGCCGAAGGCGGGACUGAUAACUGGGGUGAAGUCGUAACAAGGUAGCCGUAUCGGAAGGUGCGGCUGGAUCACCUC
rnacentral:rRNA from 1 species